GGAGCUCACAUGUUCUGUUUGUUUUAAUUUAUGAUGCUUCUUUCACUCCUUAGUGAUUAAAACCAACAACAGAUGUUGUGAGGCUCUGGUAAACGUGGAGAUGAGAAUUAAAGGAAACAACCUCCAUCUGAAAGGUCACAUCAGUCUGCGUAGGAUAAAAGAAUGUGAGGGUACAGGCUUGCACCAAACAGGAGAGGUGGAAACUCGUGUCCCAACUAACCUGGGCCCACCACCUUCAGCAGACAGGGUCCUGGCUUUGCUGAGCUUUACCUCCAAAAUUUGCUGGCCGGACAACCUGUCACAGAAGAAGCAGUACUGA
rnacentral:lncRNA from 1 species